CAUUUGAUACUUUAAGUUGCAAAAAUCACGGAUUCUUGCAGUCACUAUAUAUUGAAUCAUUCCCACAGCUUGAGCAGAUUGUGAUGAAUGGAAGUAGGAGUCAUCUCAAUGACCUCAGAAUCCUUAAUGUCAAAAAACUGCAGAACAUUAUUUGGAGAGAUCUAUCGCCUCCAGAAUUUUUUCAUGUGUUGAAGGUGUUAUAUAUAUGGGGAUGUAAUUUGGAAAAUUUAACUUGGGUCCUACAUCUCCCAUGUCUAUCUUUUUUACAUAUAACAGAUUGUGCAAAGAUAGAAACGUUGUUUUACAUCGAGGAGGAGAAAGAAAUCCAACAACAAGAAGUCUCAGAACACUGCCCAACAUUCCCUGCAUUGAAAUUUCUACUCAUAAAAAAGCUACCAAAAUUAGUGAGCAUAAGCAAUUUUGCAUUGGAUUUCCCUCGACUUUCACAGCUUUUAGUGUAUGAAUGUCUUAAUCUAAAGAAGUUACCAUUCAAGAGUGGCAUUAACAACAACAGUCAAAGAAUACUCAUUGGUUGUGAGAGAGAAUGGUGGGAAAGCUUAGAUUGGGAUGAUGCCACCAUCCCAUCUCACCUUCUGCCACGUUUCUUAACGGAUGCGAACCCUAAUGAAUGCACGACUAGUGGAAGUAAAUGAAUGGUCUUUGAUUUUUCUCUGUUUUUGUCUACACAAGUUAGAGAUCAUCUCAUGCUCAAAUCAAGUCCUUAAUUUUCUAGGUUUUACAUCUCCAAAAGCUUCUCGUGAACUACAGCCUUUC